AUCUGUGGUCACAAUGGGUACAUCCCCCAAGAAGGGUGGUCUUCCAGGAGUCACUGAAAAUUUCAAGAAGUGAAAAUCCAACAGAAAAUAUUUGAACCCAGGAAUAAAAUAGAAGCCUGGAAGACUGAAGGAUAUUGAGAAAUAUUACCACGCGUGCUGAUGCCUCAGACACACCAAUCUGCAACAAGCAACUAGGAUAAAAAAUAGUUAAAAGUGAAUCAACAUUUAUCUGGAAUAUACAGUCCUGACCCCCUUACGCACUCCCCCCCACCCCCCUCCCCGCAACACACAAAGUCAUUUGUCUUCUAUGUCCUGUGAUGUUUUGAGGAUUCUGGCAAAUAUGGCAGUUAAACAAACUUCUAGCACAAUCUAAAUACAGUCUGUUCAAGAGAGGCUUCCAAUGUUUAUAGACCAUAAGUAAAGAAAAAAAAAAUCUGGUAUUUAACCAAGAAUAGUGCUCUUGAAAAUGUCUCAGAACAAAGUGUUUAAGCAAAACUUUGGCCAUAGAUAUUCUCCAUUCCUCAUUCUUUGCUGAUUUUUUUUUCAAUGAGGACUUUUUAUAUGCCAUCAGUUUGCUUCUUCUUCUUCUUCUUCUUUUUUUUUUUUUUUUUGAAAUUAACAAACUAAUUUUAAAAAUCAACACCUGACUGGGGACCUGGUCAUACAAACUUCCUUUAGAUACAGUUGAGAAGAAAACAUCACAUUUUUAUGAAGCCCCUCUCCUGACAGGGGACUGGAGGAGGAACACCAUUAUGCAUUGUUAUCAGCGUGGUGUAAUUUGACUGUUGACAAAGUAUCCGUGGCAGUGCGAAUGAGCGCAGUUAGAAGUGUGGCGGAUUGUAAUCAAGAAGAUGCUUAGCUGUGCAACACUGCAUCUCGAGCAGAUUUGAAUCAACAUUGCCUUAAGGGGACACACACACAUACCAAAAGAAAAAAAAUCCAUUAAUUUUUAGAGGGAAAAUUAGAGUGGCACUUGAUGAAGUGAAAUUUGACAUGCGUUAAUUGGUGUGCAGCUCUCCUAAUUAGAGAUUUUCAAAUUCUUUUACUGCUGUCACCAUGAUGGCACAUUGUCUUGCUGGACAAAUACUAAAAUUGCAAAUUGGCUUGAUCAGGAAGUUUUACGUAUGAAGAUAACACUGUAUCCUCUAGUCCACUUCCAAAAGGUGGACAGCUGGAGAGCAAAGAUGACUUUCAGCUUUACCUUCACCCCAGAUUAAAAAAAAAAGGAUUAUUAAAAUAGU
rnacentral:lncRNA from 1 species